CCUACGGGAGGCAGCAGUGAGGAAUAUUGGUCAAUGGGCGAGAGCCUGAACCAGCCAAGUCGCGUGAGGGAAGACGGUCCUAUGGAUUGUAAACCUCUUUUGUCGGGGAGCAAAAAGGCCUCGUGAGGCCACAAGUGAGAGUACCCGAAGAAAAAGCAUCGGCUAACUCCGUGCCAGCAGCCGCGGUAAUACGGGGGAUGCGAGCGGUAUUCGGAUUUAGUGGGUGUAAUGGGGGCGUAGGCGGACUGGAAAGUCAGCGGUAACAUCGAGAGGCUCAACCUCGUUCCGCCGUUGAAACUGUCGGUCUUGAGUGGGCGAGAGGGAUGCGGAAUGCGUGGUGUAGCGGUGAAAUGCAUAGAUAUCACGAAGAACUCCGAUUGCGAAGGCAGCUCACUGGACUGCAACUGACACUGAGGCUCGAAAGUGUGGGUAUCAAACAGGAUUAGAUACCCGGGUAGUC
rnacentral:rRNA from 1 species